rnacentral:tRNA from 3 species
GGCGGUAUAGCUCAGCUGGUUAGAGCGCACGGCUCAUAUCCGUGGUGUCCGGGGUUCAAGUCCCUGUACCGCCACCA